rnacentral:tRNA from 2 species
GCGUCAGUAGCUCAGCCGGACAGAGCGGCGGAUUUCUAAUCCGAGGGUCGGGGGUUCGAAUCCCUCCUGACGCGCCA